AUCCUUUUCUGGUUCAUAAGCAUGAUGAUUGGGUGUCCACACGGCUUUGUGAGAUGUGCCUUCCUCAAGUCUUGUUACGCAUGUGGCAUAUUAUCCGUCUGAUG